rnacentral:lncRNA from 1 species
GUCACCCACCUCUGCACAGUCGUGACCAUGCGCCAGCCACCUGUGCGCUUCGGCCCCUCUCCAUCGCCGUUGAGGAGCGACCUAGCCCCAGUGGUGCAUGCUGGGAAGCUCCGAAGAGCCUCUGUGGUGCCAUGAACUGUUCCGAGUGGGGGAGGGGGUGAGAAACAGAAUCAUUUAUGCUAAUCAGUGAGCUCAUCCUUUAUGGACAUUGGAUAGGUUUUUACUCUAGAAGCCAAUCACUUCACAAUAGGGUGGGCCAGUGGAGAUCUCUCACACUCAUUGGGUGAGAGCUUGGAGCGGAUAGAAGAGUUUAAACUAUCCGGGAUGAUUUCCUCCCCCGCCGUGCGGUGCGUGUCCCGGAAGUGACGCACGGCCGUGGCCGGGCGGCCGCCCUACCCCCGCUUCCUUUCACGCUGUUGCUGCCCGUAGGUGGUAGUGGCCACUGUGCCCCGAGAGAGGUGGCGGCGGCCAGUAAUGCCGGGGAAACUCCUCUGGGGGGAUAUUAUGGAGUUGGAAGCACCCUUGGAAGAAUCCGAGAGCCAGAGGAAGGAAAAGCAAAAGGUGCGCUGAGGAUGGGCCGCGCCUCCUUAUGGGCUGCGCCGGUUUGGGUGGGGAGGGGAAUUGUCCCUGAUCAUGGCCUGUCAGGACCCAGUCCCAGCAUCCGAGGGCCUCCGCUCAAUCCGCGUAGGCCUUCUGAGGUCGCUCUGGGAUCAUUCCCAGGUCACACUCCCUACUUGGAGGAGGACGGCCCUGGGCUUUGGCCCGGCCUCCAGUGGCUCUUCAGCUCUUCCCACUGGCGUCUGAAUUCUCCCAAGAGAUGGGUAGACUCAAGCUCCCGUCACCGCAGAAUCUCUUUUCUUCCUAAAGCAGGGAAGCCUGUCAUUUGGUUCUUCUGGACUGUCUUAGAAGAUGAUUAAGAAAAAAUGAUUGUCUUGAAUAUGUUCUGCCUCUUUGUCACCCUGUUCUGUUGUGCAAGAAUUUUGGGGAAAGUGAUCUUAGGUUUAACUAGUUUAUAGAGGAUUUGAGAAAUAUUGUAACAUCCAGAGUUUCUAGGAUUGGGCUGUGGUGGAGAUCGUGUUGGUUUUAUUAUUAAUAACCCUUACUAUGAGUAUUUUCAUUCAAUCCACAGGUAUCUAUUGAGCCUAAUUUGCACCAGACUCUGCUGAGUACCAUGGAGUUUAAACUAAUUAAGUAUGAGAAAUGGUUUUUCCCCUUGGGUUAUAAGAGACCCCCCCUCCCAUCCAAAAAAGAAAACUCUUGAAACAAUAGAGGAUUGCAAGGUGCUGAAAAAUGCACAGGUACUGGAGACGUUUAACCUGGAGAAAGCAAAGCUGAGGAGGAUAAGGUAGCAGUUUUCAAAGUCUAACGUUGGAUGAAGUAAGGUUUAUUCCAUAUAGUUCAGGAAAGCAAAUACCUCUCCAACUUGUCGUUAAGGUCAACUUGCCAUUCCAAGCAACCAGUUUUUCUUUUAUUCUGGGGAAAUAUACAAAACUGAAAAUUUACAUUUUAGCCAUUUUUCAGUGUAGUUCUAGUGGCAUUAAAUACCCUUAUAUUGUUUUUCAGCCAUCACCACCAUCCAUCUCCACAACUUUUUUCAUCUUCUCAAACUGAGGCUCUGUCCUUUAAACACUAACUCCUCAUUCUUUUCUCUUCCCAGCUCUAGCAACCAUUAUUCUACUUUCUGUGUCUAUGAAUUGACUGCUAUAGGUACCUAGAAUCCACUAAAAUGGAAUCCCCAGUUAUUUUAAUUUUGGCUCCUGUUGAAACUUCUUUUCCCUUUUGCAUCCAGAUGCUCUGUUGAAGUUUAAUUUAUAUCUUUUCUAACCACCCCAGUAAUUUCAUUUCCUUUUGAAGUCUUGUUCCAAUACUGUCUUUAUCAUGCAAGAGGCAUUUAUUGUACACUUCCUUGUGAAAUUCAUUUUUCCUCUCUGUAUCUUUUUAAAAUAUUUCCCAAAGAUUCUUGAGGAAAAUAGCCAUAUUUUUGUCUAAUAUUUAAUUAUAUUCUUGUAUGUUGGUGACUUUCACAUUGUAAGUUCUCCAGAAAUACUUGUUAAUUGCACUUUAUGAAGAUAAACUAGAGAUUUGAAAAUGAAUUGGAAUACCAACUAAUAGAGCAUUAGGCUAGUUUUGGUGUUGAGAUGAAGAUAACCUUGGUUUGGAUUACAUUGAGAUAUGAAGAUGAGUUAUAGGUUCUUAAAACUGGAAUGCAGGCAAGGAAGAGUAAGGAAGUGUGUGUUGAAAGUCAUGAAAAUGGCAUAGAAGUGUACAUGGACAACAGAGAUUUAAGGUGUAUCCAUAGAAGUAGGAGAAGAACCAGAAGAUGUGACAAAAGUAAGAGAAUAAGAAGGGCAUACAUCAUAUCAACUCACAAGGGUGAGGCAGGAGGAUCACAAGUUCAAAACCAGCCUCAACAACUUAGGGCUGGGGAUGUGGCUCAGUGAUUAAGUGUCCCUGGGUUCAAUCCCAGGUAUCCCCCCCCCCAAAAAAAAAAAAAAAUCCCUAUAGAAUAUAAUGGAAACCAAGGGAAUCAAAAUUAUCAUAGAGUUUCGGUCCAAUAUGAAAUAAUGUAUUCACCUUGGGAUGUUGCUGGGUUUAGACUUAGAGGUCUCACUUUGCCUUGUUCCAUCAUCUCCCUGCAAUGAAGGGUCCAGGAGCAAUUCAAACUCCAGAGCUGACUCUAUAAAUAAUUUUGUUUUUCAGUAGAACUUAACGAUAUGGUGAGAUGUGAGUUACUGCAAUUAACCAAAGAGCAAAUGAUGUAACUGCAAAGCAUUUUCACAUUUUUAUGGAUAAGAAAAAUUGUAUGGUAAAGCACUCUAAAAAUUGUAUAAGUUUUUCGUGCUGGUGUUUUUGUUGUCACUCAUCUCUACCAUCUAAUUUAUUUUGAAUAUCUGACCAAGUAAUUCUGGAGAAGUCCUAAAUUUCUAAAUCAUUUCUUGUGGUCUGCAAAUAUUAAAACACUUGCCACCAGUUUGACUUUUUGAAAAAAAAUUUUUUUUAGUUGUUGAUGGACCUUUGUUUUAUUUAUUUAUUUAUAUGUGGUGCUAAGAAUCAAACCCGUUGCCUUAACAUGGUAGGCGAGCACUCUACCACUGAUCUGCAACCCCAGCCCCACCAGUUUGGCAUUUUAAAACUGAAGGUGCAAGCUGGGCAUGGUGGCACAUGCCUAUCAUUCUAGUGGCUCUGCAGGCUGAGGCAGGAGGAUUGCAAGUUCAGUCAGCAAUUUACCAAGACUCUGUCUCAAAAAAAUUAAAAGGACUGGGGAUGUCACUAACUGUUGAGCUCCCCUGGAUUCAAUUCCCGGUACACAAAAACAUAUAAACAAAAAAUUGAAGGUGCAGAAUUGUGCCUUUUCGUUUUGUUCUUUUCUUACAUUCUGUUAUCUAGAUUUUUUUUUUAAACUUCCUGGGUUAUUGUUCUUCCAUGGAAAUAUAGCAAUUGGAAUUUUAUAUCAACAUGAAGCUUUGUUUUUCUUUGACCUGUUAAUUAUUAAAGUUAGGAAGGAAGCAUGAUGUGAAAAGAGCAUAGGUUUUCCAAGUCAGGGCUAGAUUCAAUUUCUAGCACUUCCACCUACAGGAAAUCCCACAUGUGGAUCUUUGGCAAGUACUUAACCUCUAAGACUUCUGUUUCCUCAUCUGUAAAAUGACAAAGGUAAUACAGGUUCACUAUCCCUUAUCCUAAAUCCCUGGAACUAGAUGUGUCUUAGAAUUCAGAAUUCUAGGGAUCUAUAGAAGGAGAACACCCCAGCAGGGUGUGGGGCCUGUAGCAUGUAAUCAGACACCUUAAUAUUAAAUAUGAAUAAUUGCAAAUGAUGGGAUAAAUAAAAACUAUGAAUAGUCUCACAUUAGUUCUAUUCAAAUAUUGCCAUCAAAUGAGUUCAGAGCAGGUAAGGUUUUGACUCCAAAUAAGUUACAAAAACACUUUCGGUUUUCAGAGCUUUAUGGAUAUCGGAAUUUCGGAUAAGGGAUUAUGGAUCUGUACUUCCCUCAUAGGGUUGUUAUGAAGAUUUAAACAAGAUAAGCCGAAAACACAUUACACAGUGCUGGGUAGGUACUCAAUAAAUAUUAAUUUUUUUGCUCUUAGAGAUGUUAGAAGUUUUUUUUGUAUUUUAAUUUAUAAUUUUGAGAUUGUCAUUUGGUUCUGAAGGAGCUAUUUUAAUUUUGCUAAAAUUUUAUGUUGUGAUUAGAGAUGGAAUAGAGGCUGAAUUCUUGAGAAUGCAGGAGUUGGAAUGACAAUUAUAGUUAUAGGUAAGUCUUAGAGCUUGAAUUACUAAACAGUCUGGAUUUCUAUCAUGUAGGUUUUCAAUAUAACUAUUGGCUGAACUUAAGUGGUUGGGAAGUCAUGCUGUAACUUCUCUAGAAUCCUAAGAGGACACCUGUGACCUUUUUGUCAUUGUUUCUUGGUCUACAGAGUGAUAGGAGGAAGUCCAGGCACCAUCAUGACUCAGAAGAGAAAACAGAAACAAGAGAAAAUGGUGUCACAGAUGACCUGGAUGAUGCUCCCAAGCCCAAAAAAGCUAAAAUGAAAGAGAAGUUAAAUGGAGACACUGAAGAAGGAUUUAAUAGACUUUCAGAUGAAUUUUCUACAUCUCAUAAGUCAAGGAGGAAAGAUCUACCAAAUGGAGAUAUUGAUGAAUAUGAAAAAAAAUCAAAGCGAGUAUCAUCCUUAGAAAGUUCUACUCAUAAAUCAAGUGAUAAUAAACUAGAGGAGGUAUGGAUACUUUUAAUUUUGCAUUUGACAUUAUCCUUGAAAUACAGACAAAUGUGAUGUUGUAAAUUAAGAAGAAUUGAUUCUAUGUUUCUUGCUUAGUACAGACUCUAAUCCAAAUGAGAGAUCUAUACAGCUGAAAUCUGAACCUUUUUUCCUUUGGCCCUUGUUUCUUUUAUUGUAUUGUCAUUUUUUGUGGGUGGAAGUAGAGGAAUGCUCAAACUUACACUUUUUCUGUACAUUUGGGUUCCUAAACAGUUUUUCCAAAUUAUUGAUAGUCACGUACUUAUUUCUUAUGGUUCUUUCAGUCCCUGCCAGUACUGGGGCAUUGACUUGACUUCCUGAAACAAGGUACAGAAGGCCUUUUGACUUUGUGUAUUUUGCCUUCUUUUUUCUGCUUUUGAAACAGUAGCAACUUUAGAUGAUCUUUAUGUCUUACUGUAACUUUCUGUUAAAGUCAUUUGCAUUUUUAAAACUAGAAUUAAACAUGAAAAUGAUCUGAAGAAAUCUGUUCUUCUGGCUAUUACAUUUUGAGGAAGUGUAAUAAACAUGCUUAAGUAUAGAAUUUGCAUUCUUGAACCUCCUGCUCUUAUCAGUACCUGUUAAAGCAGUUAUUUUCUUGGGCAGAAUUUGUUAAAAAGUGUCUCACAGUUUUCCACUAGGAGUUCAAAAGCUGAUCUAGGUGUUAUAAAUUGUCAAGAAAUUAUUUAGGUCUUCAGAAAGAAACAAUGUUGAUAUUCUUGCUUUUUGAUAAUAAUUUUUAAAUUUGAUAAUAGCCGGUAAUUUAAUUUAAAUAAUAAUUUUUUAAAAAUCCCUGUUGUGGAGAUCAAAUGCAGGGGUAUGCAUUGAGCUUAACUUAACCUAGAAUCCUCAGGUAUUUUGGGAAAAAGAUGUUGACUCCUUGUUUUUAUUAUAUGGUGGGGUUUUUUUUUUUAAUAUUUAUUUUUUAGUUGUAGUUGGACAUAAUACCUUUAUUUUAAUUUACUUAUUUUUAUGUGGUGCUGAAGAUCGAACCCAGGGCCUCACACUUGCGAGGUGAGCGCUCUGCCGCUCAGCCCCAGCCCCAGCCCCUAUAUGGUGUUUUAUUUUGUGUAUUUGCUAUUUGUCUAGAAGCAUGUAUGUUAAUUUAGUAAGGCUCUAUUAAAUCUAUAUUGGUAGUAGUGGAAUGAACAGAUUGCUUUUUGUUGUAUUGGGGUUUUUGUUUCUUUGUUUGUUUUAGUUGCAGAUGGACACAAUACCUUUAUUUCAUUUAUUUUUAUAUAGUGCUGAGGAUCAAACCCAGUGCCUCACAUGUGCUAGGCAAGCGCUCUACUAUUGAGCUACAACCAUAGCCCUAUUUUUUUUUUUUUUGGGUAUGGGGCAUUGAACCCAGGAGCACUUAAUCACUGAGCCACAUCCCCAGCCCUUUGUAUUUUUUAUUUUGAGGCAGAGUAUUGCUAUGUUGCAUAGAUCCCUGCUAAAUUGGUGAGGGUGGCUUUGAACUUGCAAUCUUCAUGCCUUAGCCUCCUGAGUUGCUGGAAUUACAGGUGUGCACCACUGUUUCUGGCUCUAUUGGGGUUUUGCUUGAAAUCAUUCUCUGUAUUAUAAUAGGCUUAAUUGUCUAUUGUUUCUGUUUUAGAUCAUAGAUUUCAGGAGUUCUGCUUUUAGGAAUUUAUCCUAAGGAGGUAAUUAUGAGGUGUCCAUAGCUGUAUGAAUAAGUACUCUUAUCACCGGGAUAUUAUAGAUAUUGGGGAAAGUUUUAAAUAUUCUAAUUGUCUAGUAGUGUCUGGUAGUAGGCAAUUGGUUUAAUAAAAUAUGCUAUGUUUACAGAAUAGAAUGCAGCUAUCCCAAAAGGUAUAUAAGAAUUUUAGAAAGAUAGUUCUUUUUGUUGAAAAGAUAAAAAGCAGAUUUUAAAACACUGUAUAAAGUAUGAUCUUUUAUUUUUAAAACUUAGUGUGCAUAGACUGAAGAUUGGAGUGUGUUUUAAAUGUAGUUUUAACUGACUGGAUUAUCGGUAAUUUAAAAAUGUAUGUGCUUUUCUGAAAUUUCUAAAAUGAAAAUACGUUAACUUUUAAAAUUUUUCUUUUAAUCUUAAAAGAGAACAGUAUUGUUGUUUAUGUAAAUGGCCCACAAUUUGAAUUUGAUAUUGUCUUUUAUCUGGUUCUUAAUUUGAAAACUGCUAUUGUGAGUGGUUCUGUAACUACUUUCUUUAAACAUAAAAAUUAUCAAGUUUACUGGGUCUUUGUUCUGUAUACACAUUGGUACACAGAGUUUUUGAUAGAUGUUAAAUGAUAAUGUUUUGCUCAUCUAUAUUCAUGUUAAAGAAAUUCUUAAGCUUAUAGAACUUUUCCCUGAAUUAAUGACCUAGGGGGAAAAGUCCUUUUUUUUUCAAGUUGUAGUUGGACACAGUAUUUUUAUUUUAUUUAUUUAUUUUUAUGUGGUGCUGAGGAUUUGAACCCAGAGCCUCACAGGUGCUAAGUGAGCACUCUACCACUGAGCCGCAACCCCAGCUCGGAAAAAGUACUUUUUAAAGCCAUAGAACAAAUUAACUAUUUUUGGAAAAAGUUUUAAUUUCUCAUUGUGUAAUUUAUUCUUUUAUCUUAGUAUAUAGACUUGUAUUAAUUUUCAUAGUUAAUAUUAUCUAUAAGUAUGAUUUAGAUUAUUAAGUAACUUGUAAUAUGUUAUCAAAUGGAAAAAUAUUUUGAUUUAUGUAGUAGACAUUUCUAAAGGGAACUUUAUGGGUUGAAUUAAACAUUUUAAGAUGUUUUACUAGGAAAAUGGAUUAAGUAAGCUUGCCAUCUAAAGGGAUACUUUUGAAAUGAAAAGAAUCUACUAUUUUUUUUUUAAUGACUUUAUUUAUUUUAUGUGGUGCUGAGAAUUGAACCAAGUGCCUCACAACAUGCUAGGCAAACACUUUACCACUGAGCUACAGCCACAGCCUCCCCUCCUAAUUUUUAAGUUAAUCUGUAUAGGUUUUUGCAAGUACUAACUGAAGUUGAUUAGGUAGCUUGUUUAGUAAAAUGGUAAAUAAGUAAAAGUUGAACAAAAACUAUAUUAUUUAAAAAAAACUAUAUUAUUUAGAACUUUUAUUUCCUUUUGACAGACACUAACACGAGAACAGAAAGAAGGAGCCUUCUCCAAUUUCUCUAUUUCCGAAGAAACUAUAAAGCUUCUGAAAGGUACUAUGAAUUUUAAUGGAUAUGCAGCUGGAAUCUAUGACUGUAUUUUAUAAAACUCUUGUGCCUUUUUUAACCAAAUAGAGAAUAUAAAAAAGAAAUAGCUCUUUUUAAAUUGUAGUUUACUUCAUCCUUUUCAGUAUUGAUAUAGUUUUUUUUUUGAUCAGUAUCUUUUUGUAACUUGUUCUUUUUAUGACAGUAGAGUAUAUUUUGAUCUAUUUAUAGAAACAUGGAGUAUAUAUUAUUCUAAUUGUCAUCCCAAUCUUGUAGUUGUUGUGAUCUAUUUUUAAUCUUAAUUGUUAUAUGUAUUUGUCAGAAGUUCAGACUAAUUUUGUUAUAAUUUGUGUUUAGGGUAGGAAUAACUGUAAAUGGUACUUGGUUGUGUAUCUUUAGGCAGACAUGGAGAAAGCAGGAUUGUUGUUUUCAAAUGAAUAUAUCUUUUUCCUAAUACUAGUCUUAAAGAAAUAUUUUGGAAAUCUCAUUUUACAGGUCGAGGGGUAACAUAUCUCUUUCCUAUUCAAGUUAAGACCUUUGGCCCUGUAUAUGAAGGAAAAGAUUUAAUUGCACAAGCUCGGACAGGAACAGGAAAGACAUUCUCUUUUGCCAUACCCUUGAUUGAAAGGCUCCAAAGAAAUCAAGAAACAAUUAAAAAAAGCCGCUCACCAAAGGUAAUGGUUGUAAGAGAGGAAAAGCUCUAAAUAUUACUUAUUUUUGCUCCUGUUAUUAGAGAUUUAACCCCAGACCUCAUGCAUACUAAGUUCACACUCUUCUGCUGAGCUACAUCCCCAGUCCUGAAAGAGCGUAUUAGUCUUAAAUACAAGUACCUUUCAGAGAAAAUUAAGCCCUGUGGCAAAAGUAGAAAUUUGGGUUUUAAAGCAAAAACUUGUUCAUUUUCAAAUAAAGAAAAUUCAAGCAAAGCUAAAAUGAAAUCAUUAUUGCAUGUGAAUGUAAUGUAUAUGGAUUCAUAGAUGUCUUUGAUAACUUUGUGUAUUAUGGAGCUUAAAAUCUUACUUUAAAAGAGUACUUAUACAUAGUGUAUUUAGUGACUUGUUUAUCUGUUUUUUCAGUCCUGACUUUUUGCUUUCAAACAAUGAAUUUUCUAAGAGGUAUUCCAUUUAUUUGGUCAUCCAAUAACUAUUCAAUAUCAUUUAUUUUACUGGUUGACUUUUUGUGAAGACUGUUAUAGGAAUGGAACUGCUAGUCCAUGUGGUGGCACUUGUCUGUAAUCUCAGCUCUUGGGAAGCCGAGGCAAGAGAAUCUCAAGUUUGAGGCCACAACUUAUCAAGACCCUAUCUCAAAAUUAUAAAAGGAUCAGGGAUAUAAUUCAGUGAUAGAGUGCUUGGCUAGCAUGUGUGGGACCUUGAGUUCAAUCCCAUUCCAGAAAGGCAAAAAAGUUUCUUUAUUAUGCGGGUGCUAAAGAUCUGUCUUAAUUUAUGAAUAGUAAAAUCAACUAAUAAAAUUUUAGCUUGCGGUUUGACCUUUUAAGAACCUGUGUGUAGGGCUAGGGUUGUGGCUUAAUGGCAGAAUGCUUGCCUAGCAUGUGUGGGUUACUAGGUUCAAUUCUCAGCACCACAUAAAAACAAAUAAAUAAAAAUAAAACAACUAAAAAAACAGAACCUGUGUGUACUUUAAGGUUCAUGAAAGUGGAGAAGAAAAAAAAUCAGCAUUAUAGUUUGAAUAUGUAUGUAACUAAAAGUGGUUACUAUAAAGGAAUAAUGUGAUUACAAUCACUAAUUAAGUAAAGCAUAAGUGCCUUAGGUGGUGUAAGUGGUAAAAAGAGGGCCAAGAUUAUAUAUAAGAGGCUUAAGAACAUCUCUGACAAAGUGACUUUUGAGGAGACUUGACAAAGUAGAGUAUAAUAAAUUGUGAUUGGUCUUAUGCUAUUUGUGUCAUCUUUUUUUUUUUUUUAAGGCUAGUGCUAGGGAAUGGAACUCAAGGCCUCAUGUAUGCUAGGUACUCUGUCUAUAAUAUACUAAUGACUUUAAUGUUGAGAUUCCUACUUUAAAAAGGGUGGGGUCUUCUAGGUUGCAUUUUCAUGUCUUUACAAAAGUAUCUUUUGUUUUUUAAAUCUCUCACCCAGGUACUUGUUUUGGCUCCAACAAGGGAACUGGCAAAUCAAGUAGCCAAAGACUUUAAAGAUAUAACUAGGAAACUCAGUGUGGCAUGUUUUUAUGGUGGAACAUCAUAUCAAAGCCAAAGUGAGUACCUGUGCAUGAUAAUAGUGCAAAGAUGCAUUUGCUAAAUGUAAAGGAAUAAUGUGAAGGCAUAUAUUUGAUUUUUACAUAUUACUGGCAUUUUUCUCCUCUCACAGUUAAUCAUAUUCGAAAUGGUAUUGACAUCUUGGUUGGGACUCCUGGUCGUAUCAAAGACCAUUUGCAGAGCGGCCGUUUGGAUCUUUCUAAACUGCGCCAUGUUGUGCUUGAUGAAGUGGAUCAAAUGUUAGAUUUAGGUUUUGCUGAACAAGUUGAAGAUAUUAUCCACGAAUCCUACAAAACUGGUAUAUCCUAAUUCAAAAUAACCACGUUAACAAUUAUUCUUUGAUCUUAAAAGCUUAUGAAUUUUUAAUUUUUUAAUAUAUUGUCCCCUGGUAUUCUAACAAAACUAAAGUUAUUCAGUAUCUAUUCUCUUCCUGAAAAAAAAAAAAAAAAAGAACAAUAGUGUACUUUAUUUUCUUAGCUUUCUGUGUCUUCUUUCAUGUAUUAUUUUUUAUAGUCAUUAGUUAGAUUUACUAACUCAUUUUACUGAUUUCUUUGUUCAUUGUUUUUCCUUAAAUUCUCACUUUUCUUCUGAGUUGAAUUUUCUUGCUAUUGUCCCCAGUUUUAAAAGGUGAAAGUUUCAAUAGUUGCAAUGCAGUCUAUAUGUUAAAAACUUUCCCUGAGUUUUGAAUUUUUCAUUAUUUCUUUGAAGCCUGUGGUGAUUUUUAAAAGUUGGCUACAUCAUGGGAUAUUAAGAAAACAUUUGAAUUCUUUUUGUUUAUUUAAGAUUCUGAAGACAAUCCUCAGACUUUACUUUUUUCUGCAACUUGCCCACAGUGGGUAUACAAAGUUGCAAAAAAAUACAUGAAAUCCAGAUAUGAACAGGUUGACCUUGUUGGAAAAAUGACUCAAAAGGCUGCAACUACUGUGGAAGUAAGUGGCUUUCCAGCAUGAUAGAUUUUAGCUUUUAGUUGGUAUUUAUUUUUGAAAGUUUGUUAAAGCUAAACUCAAAUUUUGGGGACCUGUUCAGGCCUAAGCUCUCUUUUCUGCCUUUAGUUAAUAAGAUACAUAAGUAUUUUAAUUGUCUGAAACUGAGAAGCAGAAUAGAAUAAAUAGGGGAAAAAAGCUUGUGAAUAAGAAGUUCUAACAGAAGAUCUACAAGCAGCCAUAGAGACUGUAUUUAGGAUUCAUAUGACAGAGAACACGAUUCAUAGAAAGGAAUAGUGCUGAGGGAUGGGGUUGUGGCUCAGUGGCAGAGCGUUUGCCUCACCUGUGUGGGGCACUGCGUUCAAUCCUCAGCACCAUAUAAAUAAAUAAAAGGUAUUGUGUCCCUCUACAACUAAAGAAAAUAAAAUAAAAGGAAGAAUAGUGCUGAGAUAGUUUGUUGAAGAUUAGCUGAAGAAAGUUAGAUCUUUACCUCAUACCCAAAACUGCCCCCCAAAAAAAUAAAUAAAUUCAGAAAGAUUUUUUAAAAUUGAGCUGUAGUAGAACUUUUUUUUUUUUUUUUUUUCCUUUUUUCCCCCAAUUUUGGGGAUUUUAUUUUGAGAUAGGGUCUUGCUAAGUUGUGCAGGCUGGCCUUGAAUUUGCAGUCCUCUUCAGCCUCCCAAGUAGCUGGUAUUACAGGCAUGUGCCACUACACCCAGCUAUAUUUCUAAAGGAUAAGUAAGGGUAUUAAAAAAAAAAAGCUAAAAACCUAUAGUAAUUUUCAUACUAAGAAAACAAAAAAAGGGAUUAUUUUCUUCUUUCUUUCUUGAGCUGGAUAUUGGACCCAGAGCUUCAUGCUCAUAAGCAUGCUCUCUACUACUGAACUACACCAUAUAACUCCCUUCUAUUUUUGAUUCAUUUCAAAUUGCAGAAAUCAGUAUACUUGCCCAUAAGUAUUUUAGCAUGCAUAUCUUUAAUUAGAGCAUAAUAUUUUCAUUUUUAUAAAACUAAGGUAAAAUUUACAUAACUAAAACUAUAAACUUUUUGGGUAAGGAUGGGGACACAGUCCUUGGCUUUGUUACCCAGGCUUGUUUCAAACUUUUAAUCCUCUUGCCUUGGCCUCCCAAAUAGCUAGGAUUAUAUGCAUGUGCCAUUGUACUCAAUUUAAAACUAUAAAUAUUUAAAUGUAUAAUUCAUUGUCAUCUAGUACAUUUAUGAUGUACAACCAUCACUUCUAUGUAGCUCCAAAAUAUUUUCCUCACACCAAAGGUAACCCCAUAACCAUUAAAUAGUAAUUCCGCAUUGUUUUCUUUUCCAGUUCCUGGCAACCACCAGUCUUCUUUCUGUCUCUAUGGAUAUGCCUGUUCUGAAUAUUUCAUAUAAAUGUAAUUAUACAUUAUGUGACUUUUUAUAUUUCGCUUCUUUCCCUUAGCAUGUUUUUGAGCUUCCUCCAUAUAAUAUUUAUAGUUUUUCAGAUAAGAUUUAUGUGUAAUGAAAUGAGUGUACACUUUGCUUAGUUUUGACAAAUUCAUACAUAUGUAAUACAAACCUAUUUUUUUGAGUUUGUGUAUGUAAACCAAACAUUUAUCAAGAUAUAUUGCCAGGUGCAGUGGUACAUGCCAGUAAUCUCAGCAAUUUGGCAGGCUGAGGUAGGAGAUUUGCAAGUUCAAGACCAGCCUCUACAAUUUAGCAAAACCCUAUCUCAAGAAUAAAAAAGACAGAGGGAUGUGGCUCAGUAGUAUAGUACCCCAAGGUCCAAUCCCUAGUAUCAAAAUAAAAGGUAUUUUCAUCAUCUCAAAAAGUUCCCUCGUACUCCUUCCUAGUUCCCCCCAAUCCAGAGACAGUCACUUCUGAUUUUUUUUUUCUACCAUCGAUUAGUUUUACCUAUUCUAAAACUUCAUAUAAAUGGAAUCAUACUGCAUAUACUCUUUCUCUGUAGGACUUCAUUCACUCAGCAUAUUAUUUAAGAUUCAUCUAUAUUUUUGUGUUAUUAAUAGUUGGUUCCUUUUAAUUGCUAUAUAGUAUUUUGUUUGAAUAUACUAAAUUUGUGUAUCCUUUCACUUAUUGACGGCCAUUUGUUUGUUUUUAAAUGGGGUUGAGGAGAGUCUCUGUCUUACAGUCUCCCAGGAAGGCCAGUUCUUGAACAGGUAGAAAAAAAUAUACAAGAUAAUUUUUUUCCAACAAUUUUGUCAAAAUAGAUAUUUCACCUUUUCUUUCCUCAAAGCAUUUGGCUAUUCAGUGUCAUUGGUCUCAGAGGCCAGCAGUUAUUGGAGAUGUCCUUCAAGUCUAUAGUGGUUCAGAAGGGAGGGCUAUUAUCUUCUGUGAGACCAAGAAGAAUGUAACUGAAAUGGCAAUGAAUCCACAUAUAAAACAGGUAAGUUUUUUAAAACAUUUUUUCUAACUGAGCUGAUGAGAUGAAUAACUGAGGAAAAAUAUUGUCAGUUGGAUAGUGGUGCAUGCCUGUAAUCCCAGCAACUUUUGAGGCUGAGACAGGAGGAUUUUAAAGUUCAAGGCCAGUCUCAGCACUUAGCAAGACCCUCAGCAACUUACUGAGACCUUGUCUUAAAAUAAGAAUGGCUGGAUAUGUAACUCAAUGCCAAAGUGCCCCUGGGGGGUUCAACCCCCCAGUACCAAAAACAAAUAUAAAUAUAUUUUGUCCUCUGGACCAAACUCGAUAAGUCAUUCUCAGAAUUGUGACUAAUUUAGAAAAAAGUUAUAUCCAGCCUCUUAUAACUUGUUAAGUCUGGAGAAAAUUUUUUAAAAUAUUUUUUUAGUUGUCAAUGGACCUUAAAAUUUAUUUAUAUGUGGUUUUGAGAAUCAAACCCAAUGCCUCACACAUGAUGGGUGAGCUCUUUACCACUGAGCCACAAUCUCAGCCCCUAGGACAAAAAUUUUUUAAGAAAUAAAUUUUAUUGUGUAUAUUUAAAACUAACAAUAUGAUGUUAGGAGAGAAUUGUGUCAGUUGUUAUUAGGAGUAUUUUUUAAGGCUUUGUAAAUGUGAUCUAGAAAAUAUAAAGGUUGAAACAAAAUUAAUUUCUGUUGGUAAGAAUGGAUAAUGUUUUAGAGUUGUGUUAUAAGAACAAAUUACAAAUAUUUAUUGAAUGAAUACAUUAAUAUAAAUUGUAUGUGUUUAUCAUCCAGCUUUAUUAUCUUAUUUUAUCUGAAUGCUUGCUUACUUAUUUCUUUCUCCAAAAUUGUUUUGAUGUAAGCUCUAGAUAUUAUUACAUUCAUAAAUAUUUGGGUAAAUAUCUCUUAAAGAAAAGGAUUAGCACAGUGAAUUGGAAGGAUGGAAAGUUCAAGAUCCUGUCUCAAAAAAUAAAUAAAUAAAUAAAUAAAAGGGAUGGGAAUGUAUUUCAGUGGCAAAGCCCACCCUGGUUUCAAUCUCCAGUACGGAGUGGGUGAAAAAAAAGUUAAAAAGUCAAACCAAACCAAGCCAAAAAAAAAGGGCUUGGGGUAUAGUUCAGUGGUAGAGAGCACCUGCCUAGCAUGUGGGAGGUCUUGGGUUCAUGCACACAUACACAAAAACUACCACAACAAAAACAAGCCCCACAAUGCUGUUAUCAUUAACAAAAUUAACAGUAAUUAAUACUUUCAAAUGCCAAUUGGGUUCAAAUUUUCAACUGCCCUAUGAAUGCUUCUUUUAUUGUUUUCUUGACUCUGGAUCCAAAUAAGAUUCUUACAUUCUUACACGUUUAGUAUGUUAGUUUCUCCUGUAUCUAUUCUUCCUUGUAGUUUUUGCUGUUUAUGAAACCAAGUUUCAGUCUGGAAUACUGCUUCCCUGUGAUGUUAUUUAACUUGUUUCUCUGUUUUUUAUACUUUCUGAAACCUGAUUUUAAAAUCAGAGCAAAAAAUACUUCAUAGGUUGUUUACUUCUAGCAGAAGGUGUAUGAUUUCUAGUUCCUUUUAUCUUUGUGAUGCUAACAUUCAUCAAUGUGACAUUCCUUAUGUCAAUGUCUCUCUAGUCAUUUUUGUUGUGUAUAACUUGGUACUUAGUAGAUUCCUGAGAAAGGUCUUAUGAAAAUGAUAUUACUUGUUGAUAAUAGCUUGUUUGUGACUUUAUACUUGAGAGUUAUUUUGGCUAGUCAUAAAAUUCUUGGUUCAAAUUUUCUUUUCUUGGGACUAGGGUUGUGGCUCAGUGAUAGAGCGCUCGCCUAGCACAGGUGAGGCCCUGGGUUCGAUCCUCAGCACCAUAUAAAAUUAAUUAAAAAUUAAUUAAUUAAGGAUAUUGUAUCCAACAGCAACUAAAAAAUAAAUAUCUUUAAAAGUUUUUUUUUUCUUUAGUAUCUUAAAAUGUUAUUCCAUUGUUUUUGGAAUAAUACAUUGCUAUAAAAAGUCAGUUGCCAAUCUGACUUUUUAAAAAGUGAUUUUCCUUAAAAAAAUCAGCACUUUCCCUGGGCAUAGAGGCACAGGAUAUAAUCCCAGGGGCUCUAGAGGCUGAGGCAGUAGGAGGAUCAAAAGUGCAGAGCCAGCCUGAGCAAUUUAGUGAGGCCCCAAGGAACUUGAUGAGACCCUGUUUCAAAAAUAAAAAAAUAAAAUGGGCUAGGGAUAUAGCUUACUGGUAAAGUGCCCCUGAGUUUGAUUCCCAGUAAACCCUCCCUUUCUCAACUCCCACUCCACCCACAAAAAAAAUCAGUAGUUUUGCGUGCUCCGUUAGCCAGUUCUUGUGGUUUCAGCCAGCUACUCAGGAGGCUGAUGCUGAAGAAUUAUUUGACCAGGAGUUUGAAGUCAGCCUGGGCAACAACAUAGUCAUACUACAUCUCAAAAAAGAAAAUCAGUUGGCGCUGUGGCAUAUGCCCAUAAUCCCAGGGUCUGGGAAGGCCGAGGCAGGAGGAUUCCAGUACAAAGCCAGCUUUAGCAAAUUAGCGAAGCCCUGAGCAACUUAGUGAGACCCUGUCUCAAAAAAUAAUAAGGGCUCAGUUGUUAAGUGCCUCUGGGUUCAGUCACACACACAAACACACACCAAAAAAACCCCAAAAAUGUAGUUUUAAUAUAUAUAUUAUAAAUUUUAUCUUUGUGAUGCUAACAUUCAUCAAUGUGACAUUCCUUUUAUAUAUAUAUAUAUAAUUUUUAUUUAUUUUUUUAAGGUUUAAGACAGGGUGUAGCUAAGUUGCCAAGCUGGAUGUUGCAAUCCUCCUGUGGGAAUAUUAUUCUGCUUCCCCUAUCUCCAUUCCUAAUUACUUUCUUCUUUUUUUGAAUUUUUUUUUUUUUUUUUUUUAGUUGUAGAUGGGCACAAUGCCUUUAUUUAUUUAUCUUUAUAUGGUUCUGAGGAUCAAACCCAGGGCUUCACACAUGCUAGGCAAGUGCUCUGCCACUGAGCCCCAGCCCCAGCCCCAUCCAUCCCUAAUUACUUUCUAUGGGAUUUGAUUAGGACCUUUACUACUGUUCAUUUUUAGAUGAAAUAUAUCUUUCUGAACUUUAAAUGGGAAAGCAUGGGUUAGAAUAGUUUUCUAGAUUUGCAGGUUUAGAACUUUUGUUGUUUUUGAUAGUGUUUAAAAAUAUGGACAAAUAUCUCAAAAAAGCUGUUUAAAAAGAAAAGGUCUCUUGCUAGGUGUGGUGCACAUGCCUAUAAUCCCAGCAGCUCAGGAGGCUGAGGCAGGAGGAUUGCAAGUUCAAAGCCAGCCUCAGAAACAUUGAGAUGUUAAGCAACUCAGACCUUGUCUUUAAAUAAGGCUGGGGAUGUAGCUGAGUUCAAUCCCUAGUUAAGGCGCCCACCCCCCACCCCCAAAAAAGAGAAAAAGUCUUCCAUUUUCUGAGCUCCAGCUAUGUUCUUCCUCACUUUUAUCUGGAUCUUUUCUUUGCUCUUGUUAUUCUUGUCUUCCUGGGUUUGGAUUUUAGGUCCAAUACUUUCUUCUUGGUGUGGGCCUUCAUUCUGGAAAGGGAGCAUUGAUUAUAGUGUUUGUAUAUGGCUGAACACCAGAGCUGCUGUAGCUCCUACAGACCUUACCGUUGGUGCCUUGGCACUCUCCCAUUGUCACCUGCUACGUGUAACAAUUUGCUUGAGAAUAUGCUUUCCAGAGAAUGCUGCUUCUUAGGUCACAGAAAUCCCCUGCCCCACCCCAUACAUACAGGUUUUGCCCUAUUCUGAAAAAUUACUAGAAUGCGUUUUCAUUUAAUUUUUUUGUUUUUGUUAUUUUGGUACUGGGGAUUGAACUCAGGGGCACUCAACCACUGAGCCACAUCCCCAGCCCUAUUUUAUAUUUUAUUAGAGACAGGUCUCACUGAGUUGCUUAGUGCCUCACUUUUGUUGAGCCUGGCUUUGAACUCGUGGUCUUCCUGUCUCAGUCUCCUGAGCUGCUGGGAUUACAGGUGUGUGUCACUGUGCCUGGAACUAGUUUUGUCAUAGAUGUUCUCUGUGGAUUUUUAAUUUUCUUAUUCUAGUUGCUUUUUUUUUUUUGAGCAGGGUGAUACUGGGAUUUGAACUCAGGGCCACUCAACCACUGAGCCACAUUCCCAGCCCUAUUUUGUAUUUUAUUUAGAGACAGGAUUUCAUUGAGUUGUUAGCAUCUUGCUUUUUCUGAGGCUGGCUUUGAACUUGCCUCAGCCUCCUGCACCACUGGGAUUAUAGGCAUGUACCACUGCGCCUCACCUGCUAUUUGUUUUUUUUUUUUUUUUUUUUUUUUUUUUUUUUUUUUUUUUAUUAUUAUUAUUAUUAUUAUUAUAUGUAUGUGGUGCUGGGACCUUGAACCCAGGGCAUUGUGUAUACAAGACAAGCACUCUACCAACUGAGAUAUAUCCCCAGCCCACUAUUUGUUUUUAUGUGAGAACUGAUGAAAUACUAUGCUGUUACCAUCUUCUACAGUGUUAUUUUUACUAAUUAUAUAGCAUUGGUUGUCAUGUUUAAAACAUCUGAUAUAAACAGAUGGAUGCUUAAUAAUGAAAAUGUUGAGGUGGUUGAUGAUAUUCCCUGUUAUUGCUUUAGGACCUUCAAUAGUAACUGUCCUAGAAGUCAGUGCUUCUGAAGGAGGAAUUGCCUUGCUACAAAGACCCCCCCCAGUGACAAUAAUCAAUUUCUGUGGUUGGAAUAUGGAAUUUUUCUUCUUCAUGAUGACUGCUGUUUAGGCAGAAAGUAGUAGCAGCAUCUCAUUAUGAGGAAUGUUGAGUUUUAUGGACAAACUAGGGAGUCUAAAUGGUUUAUUUUUAUUAUGUAUUUACUUAUUUUGGGGUAUUAAGACUUGAACCCAGGGGCUAGCUUAUGCUAGACAUGCAUGAGCUACCCCUAGCACCUAGUUUCUCUGUUUUUAAAUUAUAACCUCACUUAAUUUUUUUCUAUAGGUCAAGUUUUACUUGGUUUUCUCAAUAAAAUGCCUUGUAAAUUCUCAACAAAUUCUUUCUCUCUUUUACAUACAUACAGUCUUUUGGGAAACAGUUAUUUAAAGUUUGGAAACCUGCCGGUGUGGUAGUGCACACCUGUAAAGCCAGCUUCUUAGAAGACUAAAGCAAGAGGAUCACAAGUUUGAGGCAGCCCUGGGCAAUUUAGACCCUGUCUCAAAAUAAAAAAUAGUGCUCACUUUGGUAGCACAUAUACGAAAAUUGGAAUGAUACAGAGAAGAUUAGCAUGACCCCUGCACAAGGAUGACAUGCAAAUUCAUGAAGUGUGCCACAUUUGAAAAUGAAAAAUAAAGAGUCUGGGGAUGUAUCUCAGUGGUAGAGUGCCCUGGGGUUCAAUCCCCAGUGCUACAAAAAGAAAGGAAAAAAAAAAGUUGGACAUCUGAAAAUCAUCACUGAUACCAAGAAUGUAAUAUGUCCUUUUUAGGGCUGAUUAUCAAGUUAAAAAAACCUGUGUUGAGUUUUUUAAAAAGUGAAUUUGAAAAAUUGACUAUGAAAACUGCCCAACUCAUUUAAAGUAUGGUAGCUUAUAUAUAUAGCUGUUUUCUUUUUUGAAACAGUUUUCUUAAUUGAUUCCAUGAUAAUCGUAUGAGUUUUCCUCUUCUGGCUAUCUUUCUGUGUUUUUCUGAGAUCUUUUUCUGUUCUUGCCCAUACCAUACCUUUUCCCCCGCUUCCUUUCUGUGUUGGGCAUAGAACGCAGGCCCUCAUAUAUGCUAGACCAAGUGUUCUACCACUGGGCAGCACUCCCAGUCCUUGUCUUUCAAUACUGGCGUUCCUCUCAGUUGUGUUGGGAGUGACAAGGAACAGGUGAAAUAGCCCUUAUCCAAAAUGUUUGGGAGGUCAUCUUGGUGCUUAAAAUUUUUUAGAUUUCAUAGGGCUGGCAGUUUAGCUUAGAGGUACAGCUGUUGCCUCUCAUGCACAAGGCCCCCAGCACCAUGAAAAAGAAAGAAGUUGGGGGAUGUUUCAGCUAGGUGUGCUGAGGCAUCUCUCUAACCCCAGCUAUUCAGGGAACCAAGGCAGGAGGAUGACAAGUUUGAGGACUGCCUUGGCAGCUCUGUAAGACCCUAUCUCAAAAUUGAAAAACUGAAAAGGACUGGAAUGUAACCUAGUAGUAAAGUGCUUGCACAGCAUGUUGAAGCCCUGGGUUCAAUCCCUAGUACUACAAAACAAACAAACUCAAUUUAGAUUUCAGAGUAUUUUGGAUUUCAGGUUUCUUUUCCUUUUGUGUGGUAUUGGGGAUUGAACCCAAGUAUUUUACCUCUAAGAUACAUUGCUAGCCAUAAUUUUUUUUUUAGUUGUAUAUGGACACAAUAUCUUUAUUUUGUUUAUUUAUUUUUAUGUGGUGCUAAGGAUCAAAUCCAGUGCCUCUCAAGCAAGCGCUCUACUGCUGAGCCCCAAUCCCAUUCCUAGCCCUUUUGAAAACUAUUUUGAGACAGGAUCUCCUGUCUCCAUAAGUUUCCAAGGCUGCCCUUGAACUUGUGAUCUUCUGCCUCAGCCUCCCAAGUUACUGGGAUCACAGGCAUGAGCUACUGCCCCCAGGUGUACUUCCGAUUUUUUAAUUAAGGAUAUUCAACCUGAUAGCAUAGACUUCAGAGUCAGAUCAAGUUUUAAAUCCCAGUGUACUACCUUCUAGUUAGGCAGCUUGAGCAAAGUUACUUUGUGUUUCUGUGCCUGUGCUUCCUUUUUUAAAGAAGUGGUAUUAAAAAUCACUUUUGUUUUGUUUUGUUUUACAGUUUCAACGUUUCAAUGAAACCAUUUAUUUGAGACGUUUAGCACAAUAGUUUUGUAGCAAGCAGUCCAUAAAUGUAGAAAUAUAGAAAUAUAGGUAUGUAUGCAUAGAUACACAUAUCUAAUCACUCCUAUGACUUUAGUCAUUGUGUGUUUGCUUAUAAUCCCAAAUCUUUCUUCAGUUAGAUAUGUCUUUCCAAUACUAGGCCUAUAUUUAUUCUAUUGGCCACAUAAUCCCCAACUCAUUAUGACCUAAAAUGAAUUCAUUCUUUUUUACACUCCAAUAGCCCCUCAACUGGCUCCAUUGUUCCCUAUCUUUGAAUGAUAUAUCUACCUAUAGCCCAAGUGAAACUUAUGUAUUACCCCUGAUUUUUCUUCCUCACCAUUUGCAAUUCAGUUAUCAAGGAGUAUUUUUGCAUACUGUUUCCUGUGGUUUAUUAGUUUAUUUUCUACUCCCAUUGCAGAAACUCAAAACCUGGGAAUCAUGAAUGUCUUUUUUUCUUUGUACUUCAUUUCUAUUCUCUAUACCAAAUCCUCCCAAUUUUGUCAAGUAAUAGUUUUCAAAUUCAGUUACCCUAUUUACCUUUCUAGCCUCAUCUUAUUAUCACAUUUGCUCCCCAUUUUUUGCACUAUCUUCAUACAUGUUAUACUUCAUGUCACCACAGGGCUCUUGAACUUGCAGUCCACCUCACUUAUCAAGUUCCUCUUGUCUUUCACAUCUCAGUUCAAAGCAUCACUUUUCAGGAAAUCCUUCCGUGCCCCAAACUAGGUCAGGUUUGGAUUAGUGCUUCUUGAUUCUUAGACUGAUGCUUCAUUCUUUACACUUGCUGGAUAAAUUUAUUUCUGUGUCUAAUUAUUUGUUUCAUGUCCUUCUCCACUACUGGAGUAUGAAGACCAUAAAGACAGGCAGUCUUACCAUGUUCACUUUUUUUUUUUUUUUAAGUGGUGCUGGUGAUUGAACUCAGGGCCUCACACACUCACACAUACUGGACACUUUACUACUAAGCCAUAUCCUCAGUCCCCUUGUGGGCCUUUUAAAUCCUGAUGCCUGAUAUGUAGUAUGUCUCUAAAUAUUUGUUGAGUGAAUAGGUGGUCAUUAUCACUAUCCUAGGGUCUGACAUCUCUUCUAAAUUUUUGCAGUUUGUGUUUUGUCUAUAGAUAUAGUGAUAUAGUGUAUAGAUACACUAAUUGGAGUAUUCCUUCUAUAUUAUAAAUGUGUUUGUGAUAGUUUUCUUUAGAAUCAUUCAAUUGUUUCACCUUGUCCUUAAGAUAAAGUUCAUAUUCCUUUCCCAGUCUCAUCUCUUAUCACUUACCCUUUCUUAAUCUGUUUCAGUAGUAGUGUACUACAACAUUUGUAGUUCCCCAGACAUACUAUUUAUGUAUGAUAUUUCUAACCUGAAACUUCCUAGCUUUCUGUUCUUUCAUUUACAUGACCCCUAGUUCUUUUUUUUUUUUUUAAUAUUAUUUAGUUGUUGAUGGACCUUUAUUUUAUUUACUUAUUUACAUGUGGUGCUGAGAAUUAAACCCUGCCUCACACAUGCUAGGCAAGUGCUCUACCGCUGAGCUACAACUCCAGCCCCAACUCCUAGUUCUUUAUUUAUCAUUCAGGUCUCAGUUUCAGACCUGUUUCCCACUUAGCAAGUAUGAGGCCCUGGGUUCAAUGCCUAGUAACUCCAAAAUAAUAAUAGUCAGAUUUCCCCUUAGAUAUUUCUGUAGCAUGAUGUAAAUAUAUACCUGUCGCGGCACAUAUCAUACUGUUAGGUGUUUUUUUUUGUUUGUUUUGUUACUGGGGAUUGAACUCCAGCACUCAACCACUGAGCCACAUCCCCAGCCCUAUUUUGUAUUUUAUGUAGAGAUAGGAUCUCACUGAGUUGUUCAGUGCCUCGCUUUUGUUAAGGCUGGCUUUGACCUUAUGAUCCUCUUGCCUUGGCCUCCUGAGUCACUGUGAUUACAAGCAUGCACCACAGUGCCCAGCUAUUGUACUGUUUUGAAGAUACCUAUCAAAUUGUGUGUUCUAAACUAUUUCUUUAUGAAUGUUCCAGAAACUAAUACAAUCUCAGGCACAUAGCAGGUACACAGUGAAUUCACUCAUUAUGCAGUAAGUUUAGAUACUAAGGCAUGUACUGUUGGGGUUAAAUCAUUGUUAUGAACUUUUUAAUAGUGGCAAGAUGAACUUUUUAAUAGUGGCAAGGAAUACAAGGUAAUUUAUUCAUAGUAUUAGGAAAAUUAUUUGGAGAACAAAUGGAAGAUCAACCUAGUUUAAAUAGGUUCAGCUUUGCUAAAAAUAACAGAAGUGCAAUAGUGGUGCACACCUGUAAUCCUAGUGACUAGGGAGGCUGAGAUGGGAGGAUCUCAAGUUCAAAAUCAGCAUCAGCAACUUUGUGAAGACCUAAGCAACUUAGCAAGACUCUGUCUCAAAAAAUAAAAAGGGCUGGGGAUGUGGCUUAGUGGUUAAGCAUCUCUGGUUCAAUCCCCAGGACUCCACUAAAAAAUAAUAAUAAAUAAAUAAAUAAAUUACAAAAGUACAAAUUAAAACAGCAUUGGGGAUUUUUUUUUCCCCCGCAGUACUGGUAUUGAAGCAAAGUACUUACUCUAGCUCACCCUUUUGUAAAUUUUGAGAAAAGGACUCACUAAUUGCCCAUGCUGCUCUAGAGCUCAAGAUUCUCUUGUUUCAGCCUCUUUAGUAACUGGGAUUACAAGUGUGUGCCACCAUUGCCUGGCAGAAAGUUAUUUUUGCCUAUUAGAUUAACAAAGGUUAUCAUUUAUAAUAUAUGGGCAGGUAGGGUAUGAUGAAAUAAACUCUUGCAGUAUAUAAAAAGUUAAUGGGGGCACAACUUCUUUUUAUAAAAAUUAGUCAGUAGUUAGUAAGCUGUUCAAUGUUCUUCUUAUUUUUUUUUUUUUUUUUUAGAGAGAGAGAGGGAGAGAGAAUUUUUUAAUAUUUAUUUUUUUUAGUUUUCGGGGGACGCAACAUCUUUGUUUGUAUGUGGUGCUGAGGAUCAAACCCGGGCCGCACGCAUGCCAGGCGAGUGCGCUACCACUUGAGCCACAUCCCCAGCCCCUAUUAUUAUAUUUUUAUUUACUUUUUUUAUGGGUGGUUCCUGGGGAUUGAACCCAGGUCCUUGGGCAUGUGAGGCAAGAACUCUACCAACUCUGAGCUAUAUCUCUAGACCCUCAAUGUUCUUUUUUUUUUUUUUAUGGUUCUGGGGAUUGAACCCAGAUGUGCAUGCUAGGCAUCUGCUUUACCACUGAGCUACAUUUCUAGCCCCAAAUGUUCAUUAAUUUUGAACCAGAAAUUCAACUUCUAGACAUAUAAUCUUUUGAAAUACACAUAUACAGAAGUAUCCAGAAAUAUAAGUACAAGUUUGUUCACUACAGUGUCGUUUCUAAAGGUGAAAAUUUGGAUAAAACUCAAAUGUUCAUCAGUGGGAUAUUGUUAAAGUAAAUGCCACUCACUACAUCCAUAUGUAAAAACUGUAUUUAAAGAUAGUUUUUAAUAAUUAAGUAAAGUUGCCUCUAUGGAUCUGAAAAAAGGUUUAUAUUAUAGUAUUAAAAUUUUUAAGUAGGUUGCAAAACAGUAUAUAUAAAAUAUGAUUCCUUUUUAUACAGAAACACUGUGCCCGUGGUUUAGGCACAGUGGUAUAUGCCUGUAAAUCCCAAGAACUCAGGAGGCUGAAGCAGGAGGACCCCAAGUUUGAGCCUAGCCUGGGCAACUUAGCAAGACUCUGUCUCAGAUUUUAAAAAGAGUUCGUUACUUAAAAAGUCUGGGUAUGAAGCUCAGUGGUAGAGUGCCCCUAGGUUCAAUCUCUAGUACUUAAAAAAAACAAAAACCCUAAUACCCAAAAAUAUAAAACUGUGUUAUCUGUUAGUGUAUGUAGAUAACAUGGGAUAAUAUGUAUAUGUAUUUAAAAAAAAAAUCUGCUGGCUGGGGAUGUAGCUCAGUGGUAUAGUGCUUGCCUGGCAUGAAUGAGGACCUGAGUUUAGUCCCCAGCACUCUAAGAAAAUAAACAAAAAAACAAUGACAGAGUGUUAGGAAUGAAUUAUUUCCUUUUUUUUUUUUUGGUACCAGAGAUUGAACCCAGUGACAUUCAACCACUGAGCCACAUCCCCAGCCCUUUAUUAAAAAUUUGAGACAGAGUUUUGCUAAGUUGCUUAGGGUCUCGCAAAGUUUCUGAGGCUGGUUUUGAACUUGAGAUCCUCCUGCUUAGCCUCUUGAGCUGCUGGAAUUACAGGCAUGUAGCAGUAAAUUAUUUCUAAGAGGGUGAUCUUAGGGACACUUUUAUGUUUUAGUUAAAUAUUUUUAUAAUGUUUGAUUUUUAAAAAAAAAAAAAAAAAAACCAGCAUGCAUUGUUACAGUCAUUGAGAAAAGGAAAUUAAAAGAUAAAAAGAGCAUUGACUGAAUGAUGUUAGGGUGCUAUCAGUUGCAAGUAUGAACUGUAUAUGUAAUUGUGAUUCUUUUUUCAAUAGAAUGCUCAGUGUUUGCAUGGGGACAUUGCACAGUCACAAAGAGAAAUUACACUAAAAGGCUUCAGAGAAGGUAGUUUCAAAGUUUUGGUGGCAACCAAUGUGGCUGCCCGUGGUUUGGACAUUCCUGAAGUUGACCUGGUGAUUCAAAGUUCUCCUCCACAGGUAGGAAAUGGGAUUUGGUCUGGGGAAAACAAGAGCAGUUUUAUAAAUUGCUAUCUUAUUUACAAGUAUUGCUUGAAAUAUGAAAAAUAUGUCCAUCAUUCUUGCUUUCAGGUGUUUUUUUGUUACUAUGGUGUUAAAUUGAUCCGAAUCUGAUGGCCUUUUCAGUGAUUAACUUCACUUUUUGAAUUUGAAAUUUGGAUCAACAAAAUCAUAUAAAUGAAUUAUAUAAAGUUUAUGUUAAGAACUCUGGAAGAGAUGGUUAGAAAGCUUAAAACCAUCCCCUGUAUCCCAAAAUUCUAGCAUAUAAAUUAUUUGGCAUGUUGAAAAGCACAACAGGAUUGAAAUAAAAAUUUAAUUAUUGUUAUUUUAUUUCAUUAUUUGGAUGUUGGGAUGACUGUGGAGCUUGUCAUAAUUUUAAAAAGUGUUUUCCUUUUUUAAUUUUCAGGAUGUUGAGUCCUAUAUCCAUCGUUCUGGACGCACAGGUAGAGCUGGUCGGACCGGAAUUUGCAUAUGUUUUUAUCAACCAAGAGAAAGAGGUCAACUAAGAUAUGUGGAACAAAAAGCAGUAAGUAAAGUUGAAUUAUUUCAGGCUUAUUAUCUAAAUGGUGCCUUAGAAAAGGGCUCUUUUUAUAUUUGUUCUCACAAAUAGAUCUUCUUAACUUUUCUCAGUUUAAGCUGCAUUUGGAUGUGAAGCAUGUGGGAGCUAAAUUUAUAUUAGCUGCAAGACUGUUUUAAUACAGCUUUUAUUGUGAAGAUAGAAGAGCUGCCUUUCUCAUUUUUCUCUUGAAUUUCUCCCUUGUUAUUGAAAUAAGUGUGUUGCGAUUUCAUACACCAUUACAGAAUUAUAAAUGGGUGACUGUGACAUUGUUUUGGUAUAAUAAUUUAAAAUUAAAAUUAUAUUUGCCAUAAUAUAAUUAUGUAAUAGCCAGUGUCUAUAAAAAUUGUACAAUUUCUGUGUUCCAGAUUUUUUUGUAGUAUUUCACAUUUUCUCCUAUUUUAUAAUAUUUUUAUAUACUAUCUCAUAAACUUUGUAAAGUGAGAUGGGAGUAAUAAGGAAAAAAGUUGAUUGAUUUAAAUAAUGUUCUUUUUUUUUUUGAAUCAGCUUUGUUUUGCAAGUCAAAUUCCAUAAUUGUAACUAAGGGUCAAUUCAAAAAAAUUGUUUUCACUUUUUGAAAUUUAUAAUAGAUAAUUUAUUAGAAAAAGCAGAUCUUUUUAUCCACUAAGACUUGGAAAUCUUCCAAGAAAUGGAAAUUCAACAAACUAUAUUAGUUUAGGAAUUAAUUGUAACAAAUUCCAUUUUUCUUUAAUGUAAUUCUUUCAUUUUCAGGGAAUUACUUUUAAACGUGUAGGUGUUCCUUCUACAAUGGAUUUAGUUAAAUCUAAAAGCAUGGAUGCCAUCAGGUAUGCUUUCUGACCUUGCUGAAUAAUUUUUGCUUUUGUAUUAGGCUAUUCAUCUUUAAGCUCUUCUAGUUCAAAUAUCAGAAAAUUUUAAUCACCAGUUUUACCAGCAGACAUUUAGUUAUAUUAAUAUAUGAAAACGUUACUCUUUCUUUUCCCAUUCAUUCUCUCAUCUUUUUUCCCUGUCAUGACCAAGAAAAUUUACUAUUUUUAAACCGUAGGUCUCUGGCUUCUGUUUCUUUUGCUGCUGUUGAUUUUUUCCGACCAUCAGCUCAGAGACUGAUAGAAGAGAAAGGAGCAGUGGAUGCAUUGGCUGCAGCAUUAGCCCACAUUUCUGGUGCAUCAAGCUUUGAACCACGGUCUUUGAUCACCUCUGAUAAGGUAGAAGUCUGUGAAAUAAUUGUAUUUGGUUGGGAAAAGGGUGAAAUUGAGCUAUAGCAGUAACUGCAUAAUCAAUGAGUGUUGCAUUUACUCCCUUCAAUAAAUUGCACUUUCUGUGCAGAGAAAAUUGUUUUGCUCUAUUAGAAAUUGACUUUCUCAUUUUCCUCCACCCCUAAAUUUUUGGGGGGGUGUGGUGGAGGCAGUAUCUGGGAUUGAACUCAGGGGCACCCGACCAAUGAGCCCCCAUCCCCAGACCUAUUUUGUAUUUUACUUAGAGACAAGGUCUCAAUGAAUUGCUUAGUGCCUCACUUUUGCUGAGGCUGGCUUUGAACUUGUGAUCCUCCUUUCUCAGCCUCCCAAGCCACUGGGAUUAAAGGCUUGCACUACCACGCUCUGCUAAAUUUUUCUUGACAGCCAUCUUCCAGAUUUUCAAGCCUAUAGAAAAAAAAAUUGAAAGAAUAUUGCAAUAAAUAAUGACCUAGAUUCAACAACUGUCAAUAUUGUGUUACAUUUGCUUUGUUUUUGAAUAUACUUUUUUUUUUUUUUUUGCUAAACCAUUUGGAAGUAAGUUGAAACAUUAUGACAUUAUUCCUAAGUAUUUGCUUCUUCUAAUGAUGAAGAUUCUUGUCUACAUAAUCACAAUAUCAUAGUCUCACCUACAAAAAUGAGCUAGGGAAUAAAGCUCAGUUGGGUAGAGUGCUUGCCUUGCAUGCACAAAGCCCUGGGUUCAAUCCCCAGCACCACCAAAAAAAUGUUAUAGUUCUACAUUAAUCAUCUUAUAUCUAAUAAAUAUGCAGAUUUGUUUAUUUCAAAAAUGUGUAUGUGGAGUAAAAUAUAGGAAAUCCUCACAUUGCACAGCACUGUGCAAACUGAAACUUGUAUAACAGAAUCUAUACUUCAUUUUGUUGCUAUGAAAUCAUGCAAAGUGAGAAACAGAUUCUGUGCAGGUGACAUCAUAACAUAGUAGAAUAUGAAGUAGGGAUUCUACGUGGAAGGGUCUGUGUGUAUAACACUGACUGACAUGGCCCACUGCCAGGUUGGUGUCAGAUAUCAAAACUUAUCACAUCAAUAAUCCCAAUGGUUUGGGCUGGGGAGGCUGAGAAUUGCGAGUUCAAAGCCAGCCUCAGCAACUGCAAGGCACUAAGCAACUCAGUGAGAUCCUGUCUCUAAAUAAAAUACAAAAUAGAGCUGAGGAUGUGGCUCCGUGGUCGAGUGUCCCUGAGUUCAAUCCCUGGUACCAAAACAAACAAACAAAAAAACACAUAAGAGCCAUUGGUAGCAAGUGGUUUAAAGAUUUACUUAUCUGGGUAUAAGUGAGCAGAAUCCCAGUAUGCAGAGACUCAUCAGUAAAAUCUCUCUGAUGUAGAGAAAGACAAGAGUGCACAUGAAUUUGGUCCUGGAACCUUUAUAAGACAAUAAUAGCCUGUUGUCAGGAUAUUAGAAUGAUAGGGCAGAGUAAUUCUGGGCAGCCAUCCCUGUAGCCGGGAGGAGGGAGAAAUGGGGCAGGGCAGAUAAAUUUGCUUGUGACAUUUGGUGUAGCACAAAUGAGUGCAAAUGGAGCAUCUGAUGGUUUUCUUGUGGCAGAUAUUAAUAGUUGUGCCAAAUGUCAUUUUGUUGGAAGUUAACCAUAUGUCCAAUUGUUUCUCCAUUUAUGUGUGUGUGUGUGUGUGUGAAAAAUCAGUAUUCUAGUUAAGGUUCUUAUGUUAUAAUUUGGUUGUUGUGUCUUUUUAGUAUCUUUUAGUCUAGAACAAUUUUCCAUCUUUUUUAUUUUUCAUGACUUUGAAUUUGUAAAGAGUUAGGUCAGUUGUCUGUUAGAAGAUCUCACUUUCUGGAUUUGUCCAAAAUUUUUCUUGCAUAAUUUAUUUUUGCCUUUAUCCAGAGUCACAAUGCAUAUGUCAAAGCUUGAUUUUUAUAUUCAGGCUAAAUGUUUUUUGGCAAGAGUAUGUUAUAUGUAAUACUGUAUACUUCAUAGUGAAUCAUAUCAAGAAGCAUAUGUCAUAUUGCUUUAGUAGUAUACUUAGUUUGGUUGCUUGUUUGUUGGCAACUGCCAUAUAUUUCCAUUUUCAAAGAAUAUUUUACUCUCUUAAUUAGUAAUCUGUGGGGUGAUACUUUUAGCAUCAAGCAGAUAUUCUAUCCCAAUAACUCACCGAAUACUUAAAUGUAUAAUAUCUUAAAACAAUAUUUAAACCAUAUUGGUUUUGUUUGUAGUACUAUGGAGUGAACUCAGGUGUGCUCUAGUUCUGGGCUGUAUCCCCAUACUGCACUCGACCCUGAGCCACAUCCUCAGCCCUAUUUUGUAUUUUUAUUUAGAGACAGGAUCUCACUCAGUUGCUUUGCUGGGGCUGGCUUUGAAUUCAUGAUUCUCCUGUCUCAGCCUCUGGAGUUCCUGGGAUUACAGGCAUGUGCCACCAUACCCGGUCCUUUUUAUUUUGAGAAAAUGUCUUACUAACUUACUGAAUCCGGCCUCAAACUUGACAUCUUCCUGUCUCUCAGCCUCCUGAGUCUUUGGGAUUACAGAUGUGUACCACUUCACCUGGCUAACCUAUUUAAUUUUACUCAAAACAUUAACCUACCUCUUCAUAAUGGCUUCCUCCUUGACUUCAUUCAUUACCAUAUUAGAGAGGUCUUUUUUUUUUUUUUUUUGUGGUGCUAGUGUUUGAACCCAAGGCUUCUACCAUUGUGCCACAUCCCCAGUCAGAGAGGUCUUUCCCAAUCACCCUGAUGCAUUCUAUAAUAGCUUGUUCUCCUUUUACAUUUCUUUAUCUUCUUCAUGAUGGUCCUUUUGCUGUUCAGUGAAGGUUUACAAAACAAGUACUUUUUGGUUAUUUAAUUAGUAGUAUACUUAAUUAGUAUAGUACUUCAAAAGUUCAGAGAGAUUUUUUUCCUUUUUUUUUAUGUUCUUCCACUCCAAGGUAACUUUUUAAAAACUCUUUCAGUGUUUCCUUUCGUCUUCACUACCUUAUCAUUCUCUGAUGCUGUUUUGUUUAAUUCUCUUAUAAAGCAUGAUGCGAAGAAUUAAAUAUAGUCUUUACAACACUACACAGAAAGAUGAUACUUUCAAAGAUCUAUAAACAUUAGUCUUUUUUUUUUAUUUGUUGAUAGACCUUUAUUUUAUUUAUGUAUUUAUAUGUGGUGCUGAGAAUCGAACCUAGUGCCUCACACAUGCCAGGCAAGUGUGCUACCACUGAGCCCCAGCCCCAGCCCCUAAACAUUAGUCUUUUAAUUUAGUUUCAGAGAAGUUAUUUUUUAGCAGCCAUGUUAUACUGUUGGUUCAUAAGAAAUGCAGUUAAGUCAUAUAGGUCUAUAGAGAUAGAACUUCAUUGUCCUGUGCUGCUACUGAUUUUUUUCCCAAACAUAAUGUGAGUUUUUUUUUUUUUUCCCUUAAGGGAUUUGUGACAAUGACUCUGGAAAGCCCUGAAGAAAUACAGAAUGUCACCUGUGCUUGGAAAGAACUUAACAGAAAGCUGAGUAGUAAUGCUGUGUCCCAAAUUACAAGAAUGUGCCUCCUAAAAGGAAAUAUGGUAGGCUUUUCUAGAUAAUCCAAAAGAUUUUUAAUCAAUGACCACAAGUAUUUAUAAGCAAUAGCCUAAUGGGAUGAAUAAUUCUAUUUUUCUAAGUGUUGGUUUGUUUCCAGUUGUGAAUUUGGGGAAUUAUAUAAUUAAUUCAUUUCUCUAGAGCUAUAAGUCAUUCUGCGUGGUUUGUCUUUCUGUUCCCUGCCCCGCCCCCACAGUGCAAACCAAGGGGAACAAACCAAGAGUCUUGUGCAUGCUCUACCUCUAAGCCACAUUUCCAACCCUGGUUUGAUUAUCUAAAACCCAAGUUAUCUAAGCUUCUGUUUUGGUAUAAAUAUCGUGUAGUUGUGUGUGUUUAUUUUCUAAGAGUAAAUAAUUGCAACAGUUAAAUAGCUAUACAGUUUAGACAACACACAAUAUGUCUGUUAUAAUUAACCUGCUAUUUAUUUGUUGUUAAUUUUAAUAGUAUGAAUUAAAUAAGUAUUUCAACAUUUAUUUAUAUAGCAUAUAAAACUGUAAUCUUUUUUUUUUGGUAUUGGGAAUUGAACCCAGGGUGCUUUACAUUGAUACAUUCCCCAGUCCUUUUGAGUUUUUAUUUUGUGAUAGGGUUUUGCUAAGUUGCUAAGGCUAGUCUUGAACUUGCAAGCCUCCUGAGUUGCUGGGAUUAGAGGUGUGUGCCACUGUGCUCGUAAAAGUGUAAUUUUAGUGACUGUGAUUUCUUCUAAUGGUUUUGAGAAAAGAUGUUAUAUUUAUUUAUCUCACAUUGCUACGUAGGUAGGCUUAUUCUAACAUAGAAUUUAUUAACUAAAUUGUUUAUUGGAAAUAAUCAUCUUUUUAAAGGUUUACUGUUAUUUCUCCUCAACACAGAUUUGAAGCAAAUAGGGAAAACAUACAAACAUUAACAAAAAAACAUAGAGGAGAGGUAAAGCAGAUCCAUAGACCAAACUAGUUAUUGAGUAUUAAAUUAACUUUCAACCAGGACUGAAGAGGAAACAUCUCUGGCUACAUUAGUAUCAUUAUAUGAUAAAUAUUCUACCACUUUUUUUUUUUUUUGUUUUGUUUUGUUUGUUUUUGUGGUUCUGGGGAUUAGAACUCAGGGCUUUCUGCAUGCAAGGCGUGCAUUUUACCAACUAAGUUAUAGCCCCGCCCAAAUUUCUACCUUUUUGACAGAAGCUUUCUGGCUCUAAAUUUUAUUUUAUUUGAAAUUAAAAAAUUAUGUUUAUUUUUGAGAUACGGGGGAUCCAACCCAAAGCUGUCUGCAUGUUAGGCAAGGAUUCUACCAUGUGAGUUAUAUCUCUACUCCCUGCCCCUCCCUCUCUCCCUCCCUCUCUCUUUGUCUUUUUUGGUACUGGGGAUUGAACCCAGAUUGUUUUUUUUUUUUUUUUUUUUUAAUGAGGUAACUUUUAUAUAUAUCUAUCUAUCUUUAUUUUAUUCGUUUUUAAAGAAUUUAUUAGAAGGAUCAUUUUAUAAGGGACAUGGAAUAAAAUUAUAGUGAUUGAAAAAAUAAUACUAGAGAAUAUUCUAGAGUCUUAUUAGUAUAUUCUUUUUUAAAAAAUAUUAUUUUUUUAAUAUUUAUUUUUUAGUUGCAGUUGGACACAAUAUCUUUAUUUUAUUUAUUUAUUUUAUCUGGUGCUGAGGAUCGAACCCAGGGCCUCGCAUGUGCUAGAAAAGUGCUCUACUGCUGAGCCACAACCCCAGCCCCAGUAGAUUCUUAUUAGAUAUUGUAUUUAGUUACUUUUCUGAUUUAGAAAAUACAUUAAGCAGAUACUCUGGAAUACACUUAAUAUUUUUUAUAGCAAAGAUUAUCAGCAAAUAUUAGUUUAUUAGUAAAAAUUAACUCAUGCAUCUAGAUAAAAAUAUUUUUAUUUUGCUUGCUUUUAGGGUGUUUGCUUUGAUGUUCCUACAACCGAGUCAGAAAAGUUACAGGUAUUUAAAAAAAAUUUUUAUCUCCUUCUCUAAAAGAUUGUUUUGAAAAACAUAAUUACUCUAUCAUUAUCAUGCCUAAGUCAGUUAAGAAUUCCUUAAUAUGAAAUAUCCAGUCUGUCUCAUAAUCAAAAAUUUUUUAUUAUAAAUAUUUUAAUCAAAUAAAAUGAUAGAAUUGUCUGAAUUCCCAUGUUCAUGUCAUCAGCUUCAGCUAUUCAUGGCUUGUGUGGUUUUUUGUUUGUUUGUUUGGUACCAGGGAUUGAACUCAGGGGCAUUUGCCCACUGAGCCACAUCCCCAGCCCAUUUUUUUUCCCCCAGCCCUUUUUUGUAUUUUAUUUUGAGAUAGGAUAUCACUGAGUUGCUUAGCGCAUUCCUUUUUGCAUCCUGCCUCAGCCUCCCAAGCCUCUGGGAUUUUAGGCAUUCACCACUGUGCCCGGCUCAUGGCUAGUUUUGUUUCAUCUCUGUUUCUAUCCACUUCCCUGUGUCUUUUAAGGCAUUCUAUCAUUUCAACCAUAAAUAUUUUCAUAUAUUUAAAAAGUAUACCUGUAGUAUCAUAUUUAAAUCUUCCGAAACAAUAAUCCCUAAAUAUUUUGUAUUUAAAUUUCCCCUGUUUUCUCCCCCAUUUUUCCUCCUGGUGCUGGGGAUUGAUCCAAGGGCCUCACACAUGCUAGUCAAGUGUUCUUCAACUGAGCUACACCACCAGCACUCCAGAAAAUUUUUCAUUAAUAAAGUCCAUAAAGUUUAUAUAUUGUAAUUUGUUGUUUUCUAUUUCUCUUUCAAUUUGUAGGAUGUCCUUUCUUUUUCCAAAAAAUUUCCUUGUAUUUUAUAUGUUGAAGAAACAGGUCCACUAGAGUCCAAAAAUUUGUUAUAUACCUUUGUAUAUUUAUAUAGUCACAUAUUUUGAGUCAAUAAUAGGAUUAAUUAUGAAGUCUUUUUUUUAUUUUUGGUACCAGGGAUUGACUCAGUGACACUCAACCACUGAGCCACAUCCCCAGCCCUAUUUUGUAUUUUAUUUAGAGACAGGGUCUCACUGAGUUGCUUAGUGCCUCACUGUUGCUGAGGCUGGGUUUGAACUCAUGAUCCUCCUGAUCCAGCCUCCUGAACCCCUGGGAUUACAGGCCUGAGCCACUGUGCCCAGCAAUUUUGAAGUCUUUUUAAAUAUUAGCAUUAUAUCAUGGAUACAUUCUACAUCAAUUAUAGAUACUCUUUUUUUGUUGGGGGGUGGGUAUUGGGAAUUGAACCCAGGGGGCACUUUACCGCUGAGCUAUAUUCCUUGCCUCCCCCUACCCACCUUUUUUUUUUUUUUUUUAGUUGUAGAUGGACACAGAACCUUUUCUAUUUAUGUCUAUGUGGUGCUGAGGAUAGAACCCAGUGCCUCACACAUGCUAGGCAAGCACUCUACCACAGAGCUAUAACCCCAGCCUUUUUUAAUUUUGAGCCAGGGUCUCUUUAAGUUGCUGAGGCUGUCCUCAAAUUUGGGAUCCUCCUGUCUUGCCCUCCCAGGUCACUGGGAUUACAGGAAUGUGCCACCAUGCCUGGCUACAGUUGCUUAUUUUUUAUGAUGCCCUGGUAUGGAGGCUCAACUUUGAUCACCAGUGUUCUGUUUUCUGAAAUUUAGACUAUUUCCAAUUUAUUAUUAUAAAUAAAACUGCCCAGAAUAUUGAUAUAAGUAAUUCUUCCUGCAUUGCCAUGUUUAAUCUCUUUAAGAUGAAUUUUUUAAUAUGACUGUUGGCCAAAAGGUUUGUGCAUUUUUUUUAAUGUUUAUUUUUUAGUUGUAGUUGGACAUAAUACCUUUAUUUUUUAUUUUUUUUUUUUUAAAUAUUUAUUUAUUUAGUUUUCCGUGGACACAACAUUUUUGUUUGUAUGUGGUGCUGAGGAUCGAACCCGGGCCGCACGCAUGCCAGGCAAGUGCGCUACCGCUUGAGCCACAUCCCCAGCCCCUAUUUUUUAUUUUUAUUGACUUAUUUUUAUGUCAGGAUGAGGAUCACACCCAGGCUCUUGCACGUGUGAGGCAAAUGCUCUACCGCUGAGCCAAAACCCCAGCCCUGGUUUGUGCAUUUUUAAGACUGUGCUCAUAUGUUGCCAAACCUACCAAUGAUUUAUGUGGGUGUUUUUCUCUUCUCAUUCUUAUCAACAGGGCAUUUUACAUUGACUUCCCUUGGCAACUUGUGCUCAUAAUGAACAAUAGUUAUUACCAAGAUAACACAUUGCACUGCUCUUAUGAGCUGCCUUUUUUUUUUUUUUUUUUAGGGGAACACUAAGGAUUGAACCCAGGGCAAGCAUUCUACUACUGAGCACUGUCUCCAUACCACUGAUUCAUGUAUCUUGAGUUGAUUACUCUAGUAAAUUGUUUUUAGUAGCUAUAUUUUUUAGUUCCUGGUUACUGUUGACAGAUUUCUAAUCCCUGUUAUCGGCCGUAAUAUAUCUUGUUUUUGUCAGUAUACCUCUUUAAAAUAAUGGAAUGCUUAUUAAUGCUCUAUUUCUUUGUCCUAAGAAAGCAGAUAGCAGUCUCCUUUAGACCGUCUAAAUUGAUGAGUUUAAAGUCUUGAAAUGGGUCAGAGAGUUCUCCUGAAACUAAAGCUUAGUAACUUUAGUCAUUGAACGUGUUUUCUUUUUCUUUUUUUAAAAUAUUUAUUUAUUUGGUGUAGAUGGACACAACACAAUGCCUUUAUUUUUAUGUGGUACUGAGGAUCGAACCCGGGUCCCGCCUGUGCUAGGCAAGCGCUCUACCGCUGAGCCACAAUCCCAGCCCUGAACAUGUUUUCUUUUUGCUUAUUUUUUGGUUUUCAUUUUUGUUCCAGACACUUUGGAUUUAAGUGAUAGAUGAUCUUUGGCUAACAGAUAAAGGACAUGCAAAAGUAUUCUUUGCUUGCUUAUGGUUUCAAUUUUGCAUUUCUAUUAAUCCUGUAAAUUCUUCUAACAGGCAGAGUGGCAUGAUUCAGAUUGGAUACUCUCAGUGCCAGCCAAAUUACCUGAAAUCGAAGAGUAUUAUGAUGGAAAUACAUCUUCUAAUUCCAGACAAAGGAGUAGUGGCUGGUCAAGUGGCAGGUCUGGCCGGUCAGGUCGAUCAGGUGGUCGAUCUGGUGGCCGGUCAGGUAGACCGAGUCGACAGGGAAGUCGGUCAGGAAGUCGACAAGAUGGUAGAAGACGAAGUGGGAACAGAAAUCGAUCAAGAAGCGGGGGCCACAAACGGAGUUUUGACUGAGCAUUUGAUAGUUAAUCUACCAGUGUGAGCUUGCCUAUGUCUGCCUAAUCAUGUACAUUAUCCACCAAAAAUUAGGUCAUCAUAGUUGAGGUGUGUGUCUGCUGUUUGCAAAGAAGUUGGUCGUAUUUUUUUAAAAAGUAUUUCACAAAAAUGGUUGUAAACAAAUCUACUUAUCCAGUUAUAACUUUGAAUAAAAAAAAC